rnacentral:lncRNA from 1 species
UGUGUGGGGCCGCCUGAAGCCGCCUCCUGACUGUGGGGUGUUGGUACACGCGGAGGAUUUGGGAGCGUGUAUUGUCCCAGAGAGGGUGAGGAGACGGGCUGAGCAAACCUCUGGAAGAAGACCCUGAGGAAACAAACCCAUGGUUGGGCGCCAUUUGUAUUACCUUUCAGCGGGGGAUCGAAACAGCUGGAGAGGGAGGAGGAAGAUGGCAGAGUUUUCUCCCAGCAAUACGGGAAACGUGAAUUACCCAAAGGAAUUGCUGCUCAUACGUGAUUCUGCCUGCCCCACAGUGAACUGAGAUGUUAAAGGAAAAAAACACAUCUGUGCACUGGUCUGCUUAGAGACUAGCUUCGACUGGCUUGCAAACAAAAAGUGUGUUAUCAGAUCAUUCAGCGCUGCCAAGUUCUGCUCCAAUGCCAGCGCCACUUUGAGAUGCCCCUGUUGCUGUUAGUGAGGAUCCACUGUAACACACUGAUUUUACUUCUCUGAGUGACGCUUGUCUUUUCAGUUUCUCAUACAUAAGAUCAGUAAAUGAGGGGCUAAAAUUCAUGCCAGUAGCAAUCAAUAUGAGUUUCAGAAUGUUGAUUAUUUAAUGUUAAAUAAUCAUGUUAAAUUAAUGUUUAAUAGCAAUGUUAAAUAAUGUAAAUCGAAUUAUAAUUAUUUAAUUAAAAGACCUUUGUGUGGAUUCCGACUCUGUGCGCUUAUUGGCAGGCUGCACCAGGCACGAACCUACAGGUAACAGUUUGAGUAAUUCACAUCACUUUCCCAUUGAGAGCUGAUGUAUUUUACGAUGUAUGUGUUUCCAGGACAUUUAUUCAGUGGGCUUAACUUUGAUGCAUACUACUAAAACUGCGUAUUGUGCUCACUAAACUUCUGGAGGCCAGUGUUGUUUCUUUUUCGACCACACAUCAGACUAAGAUAUUUCAUUGCUUUAGGUCUUUAUGUCUAUCAUUUGAGCAUCCCAGGUCCUCUGAAAAAAAGUAAAACAGAAACAAAUAGAGAGGCAUUUGUUUUCUGUUUCAACUAUACUAAAACUAUUAAUAUAGAAUACUUUUUUUUAGAAGUCUGCUGAAGAGGUCAAGUAUUGGGACUAAUUCAACAAGAACUGAAGGGCUAUAUUUCUGGGCAACUUCUCUGAACGCUGGCUGCCACUCUGACUUCCUUAAUUAGCAUGUUUUCUCCAGCAAACAUAUUCAACAAAUGAGUUUCACUAAAAAGAGAAAAAAAAAAGGCAAACGCUCUAUAGAAACUUUUCUAUAUUGCUUGUAUUCCAGGAAGCAAAUUUAAUUCUCUAACUU